rnacentral:misc_RNA from 1 species
ACAAACUUGGUCAUUUAGAGGAAGUAAAAGUCGUAACAAGGUUUCCGUAGGUGGGUUCGCCUACGCACCGAGUCUGCUCUAGCAGGCAACAUCUCUACUGUGUCUGGGACCGCCUCCUGGUGGCACCAGCAGCUCGCCCAGCGAGUUCACAGGUCAAAUAGGGAUGGCCCGUGUUGCGGGUUGAGAUAUGAUCGAGUGGCGCUGUAGCCAGCUGCCACAGCUCGGAACCUGCGGAAGGAUCAUUACAGAGAACGUGCCCUCUGGGUACAUCUCCCCCCCUAUGUCUACCUUACCUCGUUGCUUUGGCAGGCCCGUCUCACGACCACCGGCUCCGGCUGGUCCGUGCCCGCCAGAGGACCACAAACUCUGAUUAUCUUGCUGUCUGAGUUACCAUAUAAUACGUUAAAACUUUCAACAACGGAUCUCUUGGUUCUGGCAUCGAUGAAGAACGCAGC